rnacentral:tRNA from 1 species
CAGGAAAUAGUUCAAUUUAUAAUGCUAUCUUUGGGAGAUAGUGAUGAAAGUUAGAAUCUUUCUUUCCUGG